rnacentral:tRNA from 1 species
GGCGACGUAGCCAAGUGGUAAGGCAGGGGUCUGCAAAACCCUUAUUCGCCGGUUCAAUUCCGGCCGUCGCCU